AUGACCCGUUGCUCCCUCCUGUUCGUUCUCGGUGGUGAGCCGACGACGGUGCCGGAGCUUUUUUUCUCGGUGACAGCAGCGGCGGAGCUGUCAUUCUCGGCGACGGCGGCGGCUGUGGCAAAGCUAGGUGAUGGUAGCGUGCGAGACAUAGAGAGAGAUACAAUUGUGAAACGGGAGGUUGAAUGUGCAGAGAUUGAUCCUCAGGAAAUACAAAGCAUGGAAGAGAGGGUCGUGAGAAAUGUCGUGGAGAAAAUUGGGGAGAGCAUUUUUGGGGGUCCAGAGCAGGAGGUAGCAUUGUUACGGUUUGAUAAUUGGAAGGGUGAGUAUGUGAGAAUUGAGAAUGGUGAAGAGAUGGUUAAUGAAAUCGAUCGGCAAGACGGCUGGGCAAGCAAACAGACUACCUUUCAUGCAGAGCUCGUUGAUCUGAAAUCAGAUUCUAAGGUUGGAUAUGUGCCCUCAAAGUUGGCUUCACAGAUGGUAGAUGAUGAUUGGGCCUCACAGAGACAGAUAACGCCCAUGUUUACGGGUGAAGUGACAGUAAUAGGGGGUGUUGAUCAAGAUGUAGAAGAGGGUUGUGAUGGUGCUGCAAGGGUUGUUUGUGUUGAUUGGAAUUCAGUACUAUUAGAAGACACUACUGAUCUGGUCAUUGCACCAAUGGCUGACACUGAGAUGGCCAAAAAAUUUGGCAUUCCAGUAGAUCCAGUAGAUGAUCAAGAUGAGGAAGAGAGGGGUGAAUCUAGUUUGCCUAAUGAUGCUAGCAGAGAUGCUUGUGAAGAUGUGGAUGGACAGCUGAUGAAAGAUGUUGCAGAUGAUGUAGAUGAUGCACAUGAAGAUGAGCUUUCAAACAUGAGUUUGAUGCCAAGACUAUGUGGACUGACAGAAAGAAAUUUUAUGCAAGGUGCAGAGGUUUCGAUGGAAGCGUCAGGCCUUGCAAGUGGUACAUAUCUGCUAAAAUUCAACAUGAUGGAAGUACCAUUAGGAAGACCGGAGAUAGCACUGUCGCGCCACGUGCCCUCGUCCGCGUGCUGCUGUGACCUGGCUGGCCUCGCGCCCUCGCCUAACCAAGGAAGGAAAUGGCUCCGUCACCGUUACAUGGAGAGAAGGGCGAAGAGCAAGGUCGCAUGCGUGGCCUGCAACUGCUCAUCCGCAGCAGCCGAACUCGCCCGACCACAGCCAGCUCCUGCUCCACUCGGUCCCGCGCCGCUUAGCUGCGCUCAAGAUCAACCGCUUCCUCUCCGUUUCGACGACGCAAAACCAGCAGCCCAAUCCUCGCCGGCACCAAGGGGAACCACGGCAUGCACGCACACCAGGAUGCCAAGAAGACCCGCCCUCGCCGUCAACGCGUUGCGCACGCUGGAUGUCGUAGCAGAAGGAGCGGCGCACAAGAUCCUGAAGCACUUCCGUCGCUUCCUGGCGCGAGCCGCGGAGCGCACGACAGUGACGCCGUUGUGUCUCCUCCUUGCUCAUCGCCAGUGGCGAGACGUCCUUAAAGCUUGGGCUUCCCACAGCCUGGUGCACUUCCGCCACAGUCCCUCACCCCCGCACACACCCGCCUCCUUAUUCAUCUUCCUCCGUGCACCACCUCCUUCACAGGCGGACGCCCUGCGAGGCGGCAAACGGAGUGAAAGCGAGAGACGAUGGCCACGGAGAAGAGAAAGGAGAGCUUUUUAUAGAUGCUGGCGGUGGAGGAUUCGACCGAAGUCUUCCGGAACCACCACGAUCAUCGAGAGCGGAGACAUCGAGAAGAAGAGAUAUGGAAGAAGGAAACGAUGGGAAGAUGAACAAAUCGAAUAUAAGCCCAUGGCCAAGGAAGGAUUGGAAGGGAUUAAGAUUUGUCGAAGAUCAUCGGUUAUUUCACGCCUACUUUUCACGGAUGAGUAUUUGUUAUUUUUCCGUGCUUCCUUACAGCAGGCAAUGUUGCGGGCCAACCGUGCCGGCCUGAUGUGUAAAGGGGCGUGUCUGGGCCUGGGGGGGGAGGGGGGGGAGGCCCGGCCCGUCACGGCACGUUUGGCCAGGUUUGGACUAGUACAGUCCACCGUGGGUAGGCACCGCUUCCUAUCCACUCCGCUUCGCCCUCCUCUCGCCAGAACAGAUCUGGUCGGCGGCGAUGGCGCCGCCCAAACCCUAGCCCACUUCCUUCGGCUCCACCGUCUCCAUCCUUCUCCUCCGCCUCCCACGCACCCGCGCAACCAUCGCUCGAGCCCAGAAUGGAUGAUAGAGCAACUGAGCUGCGAGCCCUGCAGCAUGUGUUCUGUGAUGCAAUAUAAAAUUGGUCAUGGCAGGUCUGGAUCUGUUUACAUGGGAUUUCUGCGAGCUGCUAGCGGUUCCGGCGGAAGAAGAAGAAGAAGAACCAAGGUUGCGGUCAAGGAGCUUUCUAAUCUGCAUGUUUUGCCUGAUGACAAAUUCCUCGAGUGCUUAAAGAAGGCAAACCACAAGAACAUCGUAAGACUUCUAGGCUAUUGCACAGUAACACAACAAGAGCUGCUUCAGUUCUACCGAGUGAACAAGGGCCAUAAAAUGCUGCUCUGCUUUGAAUAUGUUCCUAAUGGUAACAUUCUGCAUUAUCUCGAAGAAGAGAAUCAUGAAGACGAUUGGCCUGCACGCUACCAAAUGAUCAGAGGAACUUGUGACGGAUUGCACUAUCUUCAUGACAAAAGAAUUAGCCACCUUGACCUGAAACCUGAAAAUGUUAUGUUGGAUGCUCAGAUGGAACCAAAAAUUACAGAUUUUUGUUUGUCAAGAUUAGUAGAUCAGGGACAAUCCGAAAUGUCCACUCAUCACAUACCUGGAAAACUGCAAUCUCCUGGGCCAGAUAUUGUAUUUGAAGAACAAAGAUCAUUCAAGUCAGACACAUAUGCUCUGGGAAUUAUUAUCAUAAAACUGUUAACUGGGAACAGUAUGUCAAGUCUUGAGAAUUGGGAUGGAUUCAUAGAUGUGGAUUGCCCACGGGCGAGGAUGUGCGCCGCAAUAGCUCUAAGAUGCACGGACGCUGAGGAAUAUAAUAGGCCUACCUUACAUGAAAUAAUUUGUGAACUGAACAAGGUGGAGAGCAUGGUUUCACAGUUUCCCAUAAACCAGCUGCUGCACCCUGUCGGCACUAGUUUUGCAGUACUGGUAGCUUAUGCAUUGUUGCUUAUGAUCAGUACAAACUACAUCCAAAUAGCUGUGAUCCCGGCUAUCAUACUCGUUUUCAUCGGUGUUUUGUGGGGCAAUUUCUGGGUCAAGGGAAGACUUCAGCAUAGAAACAACAAUGGAACUGCUGCUAACCAGGGGAGUGGCAGCGGGCAAGCUUGGAGGAUGCUGCUACCCACGGUACUACUGUCGUAUUGUUUGCAGCUAAUCCAGCUUGCCUGUGCACAAGUGACCAAUGGACAACAAAGUGACAAUUUCCUCUUCUCUCACUCCCUCCUCUUCCUGAGUUCCGCGCUUGGUGCACUGGCCGUGAUGAUUGCCGCGCUGCCCAUCAGAGCCAAUCAAUGUGUGGCGCAGGGACAGCAGCUUAUUCACAGGAUCUUCAUUGUGGUUUUUAUGAUAGCAGUGCACAUGAUGGCUACAGAAUGGAUGAUGGUGGAGGUCAUGCCACUGGUUUGCAUGCCGGAGUUUAUUGCAUCACUUGUGUGGCUCACCACUGGUAAUUUUGAUCACGCCAGAUGUAUGGUGCUCAUCGACAAGGUAACAUCACGCAGAUCAACAGUCACCUUUCUCACUGCAGCAGUGGCUCUGUUAGCGUUCAUGUUUGCAUUUGAGAACGAGAUGGUACUUGCUAGUUACUGGUACAGAGGAAUCAUGUACUCCUGUACCUUGUCAGGGCUUCUAUCCUGCUUGUGCGUGUGGAUGAUCCUUCAGUGGCGGCCGGAUAUCUCUGCUAAUGUGCCCCUUGACUGGCCGAGCGGUAGUGCGAUCAUUUCCAUAAGGAUCCUUGAGUUCUCGGCACUGAUUUGCUUUGCUAUGUCAGCUGUGCUUCUCUUCAUUGGGUUCCUCUUGAAUUACUCAAUUCUGUAGAUCUAAGUUUGCUAUGUAAGCAUGCAUGGCUACCUUGUAUGGCGGCCUCGGGACAAAGAUUGACCAUAACUGUAGUGUUUUGCAAUGUAUCUUCUAAUAUUUUUAUAACUACUAUUGUAGUGUGGUUACUGAUCUGGAUUGUUGAUUAUAGAUAGGAGGCUACCUUUGAAUCUCAUUACCAGAAGGGAAUGCAAACAUUUAUGCUUGUUAUCAACGAGAACAUCAGAAUAUUUCGUAUAUGAAAGGUGAUUGAAGAUGC
rnacentral:rRNA from 1 species